rnacentral:ncRNA from 1 species
UUCAAUUCAGAAAAAGCAGUUAAAAGGGAAUCAGGUGUAAAUCCUGAACAGACCCGCUACUGUAAGUUCUACACAAAGUCUUUAAACAUUACUAAUGCCAUUGUUCCGUUUUUGGAGUGAGAAGGCCGUUUAAAGAUAGAAUAAGUCAGGAGACCUGCCACGAUCAC